AAAUUUGAGAUUGUGAUUCUCGAUGCAUAAUGACAGGACAUUUAAUAUUCUUUAUCUCCCAGUUAGUUGGGAAAUUGCAUAAAUAGGAAUUCUGAUAGAAGAUCUGUUUAAUAUUUUCCCCUUGCAUUUCCUUGCCCUUUUGAGUAGAUAAAAGGGAUUUACAGAUGAGACAAAAAGAGAACUGCUUGAUAAGAAAGGAGAUUGUCUUUAUCACCAUUCUCCAUUCGUUUUUUCCAGGCCACUGGAAUUCUUCACAUGCAGUGCUUAAAGCAGUCCUUCAGGACUAAAGGUAGAAGGCGGCUGUGAGUGGAGUGACUCAGGUGGGACCAGCAUGGAUGUGUGGUGGAGUAGCCUGAAGCCAGGCUGCAGGAGCAGUUUGUCUCAAAGACUAAGUCUCACAGCAUCUCUUUGGAAAAGCUAAAAUCACAUGGAAUGAUUUAUGGCAAAUCUCCCCAGUCUGCAUGCUUGUAAUAGAGCAGAACGUGUCAGAUAAAUAGAAUGUGUAUAUUUUGGAGAAGAAUUUCAGCUUAAAUGUUGCCUAAACCUCAUUCAUAGGUAGAUUCUGGAAAGAAGAAUGGCUGAAACCUGGGAGCCAGAUCCUUGAAUGCCACAUUAUAACACACACGUCACAGAAGUGGUUGGGUAGCAACGUGUGAAUGUACUUGGACAGCGUAUUCUGAGUACACUAGGGACCAUGGAGGCAUCUGGACUCCCUCCUCCAGGGAGCUGGAAUCAUUGCAAGCACCUCAGCCAGUGGGUGUGAAGCACCCCCCAGGAUUCUGGGUUUAUACUAAUGGAGGUAGAGCACAAACUCUCAAUUUGGGGAACAGCCCCUUCCAACCUCACAACUUAGUAUUUCUUAUCAACCACAAGAUUGACUGAGGCUUCGUGGCCAAGAAACUUCUGCUGGUAAGAGCCUGGCCUCAAAACAGGAAAAUCUUAGUAGUGAGAAGUGUUUCUCUGCUGUAGAAUUUUCUCCCGCUAUAGAGGUCUGAACAGUGGAAGAUUUCUCUCUAGUGGCCAAAGUCAGUGCCACUGAUAGAAUCAUGAGGCAUGACCAGAGCGAGUGAGUAUUGAAGUAGAUGAUGCCAAAGGUUUCCUUCUGGUCCUUACCAUUCUACGGUUCUAUAUUCUAAAAACCAAGUAUGUAAUAUUACAUGUAGCCAUCUGUGUGGACAGAAGGGCAACCCACGUUUUGUCUUUGCAGGGCAGAGAUGAAAGCUGUUACUCGUAACUUGACAGCAUGCUCCCGUUAAAUGAUGUCCUGUGCAGGGGACCAAGAAAUGGACAAGAGGAAGAGAGGAGCUUCAAGUGUGUUUUGGAAGACUCUCGGGAAGCACAGCACAUCUCUGGUGAUCUAGGUGGGCAACUGCAAGCAGGGUCCUGGAAAUCGGACUGUUUUUACAUGAGUAGAAGAACAGUACCUCUCACUCGUAUUGUGCCCCAAACUCCAGAAAAGAUCCUCCAAACCAGCACGGAGGCUGGGUCAUGGUGGACACUCCAGGAUAAUUCACUGAAUGUUAUCAUGGGACUGUGGGCCAGUGGAUCCCAAUGUCCAGUCAGAGGACUGGUGCUGGGCAAGAAUGAAGUUCUCACAGGUCUGUGGUGAAAAGAGAAAAAUGAGGACAACUCUGUGUGUAUGUGUGAUGGCCAACUGUCUUUUCUUGGUUUUAUUUUUGUUGUUUUCGUGCUGAGAUUUGUUGAUAGGUGAUUUUUUUUUUUUUUUUUUUUUUUUUUUGCCUGUGCUGUGUAGCAUGUGGGAUCCUAGUUCCCUGACCAGGGAUUGAAGCCAUGCCCCCCUGCAUUGGAAGUGUGGAGUCUUAACCACUGGACUGCCAGUGCCAAGGAUGCUGCGGCUCCUCCAUGCUCGGGACAUGGUCCUGAAGCCGAGAUGCCCACACGCCUGCUUGAACCUCUGCGGGGCCUGCCUUCUCUGUCUCCAGCAAAGGAAAGGUAUUCACAGAAAUGAAAAAAAAUUCACUCCACGAAAAGAAAAAAAGAAAACCCCUAGUUUUACAGCAUAUUGAUUCUCAACCAUAAUUUCCCUACAUGGAAAUAAACAUGCAGCUGGUACCUGGAGCCUCAGUUUGAGGAACGUGUAGGACACAAGGUCGUUCAGGAAGAAACUGUAGGAAGUCAGUCUGGCAAGAGGUGAAAAUAUAGACCAGUGAGAGCCUGACCAGCAAUCUGGAAGUUUCUG